CCCAAUUUGUGUCGGACCUCAUGGCCCAUCCGACGCAGAUCCGCAGGCCCGCGCGCUUCAUUCCCUUAUAUUUCAAACCCUAACUUCUUUGUCUAGCUUCUCCAGCCGUUCUUCUCUCUCUACCCCUCUCCCUCUUUCUCAUACCACCCGUUCAUCAUCAACCACUGUUGUUCUUGUUUAUUCGCUUUCUCCUUCGCAUUCAAAAGAAAAUCAUCGGCCCACGCUUGUCGUCGGCGUUUAGGAAGCGACUCGAUAACUUCAUUGCUUCAGUUGGAAUUCCCCGCUGCGAUUCUCACCAUCGAUUCUCUCUUUCCUCCCACUGCCACUACCGCUGUGAGUUCUCACCAUCGAUUCUCUCUCUCCUCCCACGUCACUCCCCCUACCCCUACCGCUGCGAGUUCUUACUAAACUCCGUCGAGCCCACUGCCACGUCAUAACAUUUCCGUUUUCCAACGAGCGGCGAAAAUUCGUUUUGACAGAUUUUCAAGAAGUCUACAACAUUGCAAAGUUGAAGAAUGAGAUUUUCAAGCAAGGUUCCAGAAUUUAGGUUUAGUUUUUAGUUUUUAGGAAAUUUUUAGUGCUGUAAGUUACUUUCAAAUUUUUUUAGUUCUGGUAAAGUUUGUAAGCCAUGUGUAAAUUACAUUUUUUUUUUUAAUGAAAUUAAGGUACAUUCAUAAGAAAGAACGUAUCUAUGAACAUUUGUGAA